rnacentral:lncRNA from 1 species
GUACCAACACCAGAACGCGAGCUGAGCUGUUGAGUCAACGCCGCUGCUGGUCUGUGUGGUGAAACUCUAACGGCGUUUCCCUCAUAUGAUGCUCUGAAAAGGCUUUGCAUUCUAUUCAUUCGAACUUCGAAUAGUUCACGGUGAGACGGAAGAACAUAAUACUGUAUGUGCAGCACUGCUAUUUAAAGUGGCGCCGAUGACAACAAUCGUGAAUAUUGUUCUACUCAGUUAACGGAAUAUCCUUUCCCCUUCCCAUAACUCCGCGCAAUCAGUCUUUCUGAACAGCCUCAAUUUGUUGGGGCAUGAACUCUACAAGACGUCGAAAGCAUUCCACAGGGAUACUGGCCCAUGUUGACUCCAAUGCUUCCCACAGUUGUGUCAAGUUGGCUGGAUCUCCAUUGGGUGGUGGACCAUUCUUGAUACACACAAGACACUGUUGAGCGUGAAAAACCCAGCAGCGUUACAGUUCUCAAUACAAACCGGUCCUCCUGGUACCUACUAACAGACCCUGUUCAAAGGCAC